rnacentral:rRNA from 1 species
UACGUAGGGUGCAAGCGUUAAUCGGAAUUACCGGGCGUAAAGCGUGCGCAGGCGGUUGUGUAAGACAGAUGUGAAAUCCCCGGGCUCAACCUGGGAACUGCAUUUGUGACUGCACGGCUCGAGUGCGGCAGAGGGGGAUGGAAUUCCGCGUGUAGCAGUGAAAUGCGUAGAUAUGCGGAGGAACACCGAUGGCGAAGGCAAUCCCCUGGGCCUGCACUGACGCUCAUGCACGAAAGCGUGGGGAGCAAACAGG